rnacentral:sRNA from 1 species
AAUAGCCGCCCUCCUUGGGCGUUUCCUCCUUAGACUUGGCCGGUCGUCCUUUUGGGCGGCCGGCCUUUUUUGUUUGGCGC